rnacentral:rRNA from 1 species
UACGUAGGGGGCAAGCGUUGUCCGGAAUCAUUGGGCGUAAAGCGCGUGUAGGCGGCUCGGUAAGUCUGCUCUGAAAGCCCGGGGCUCAACCCUGGGAGGCGGGUGGAUACUGCUGAGCUCGAGUCCGGAAGAGGCGAGUGGAAUUCCUGGUGUAGCGGUGGAAUGCGCAGAUAUCAGGAGGAACACCGGUGGCGAAGGCGCCACUCUGGGCCGGUACUGACGCUGAGGAGCGAAAGCGUGGGGAGCGAACAGG